rnacentral:lncRNA from 1 species
UCAACCUACAAUAUGUUUGUUUAUUGCAAGUAUCAUGUACUGAAUAUAGUUGUAUAAUUGUGUCUCUCUUUUUUCUUUUUCUUAGUGUUGGAGAUUAGACCCAGGGCCUUACACUUGUAGGCGAGUGUGCUGCCACUGAGCAGCUACACAGCAGCUUGCUAGACCUUUACAUUAUGGGCAGCAGAGUGUGUUUGCUUACUCUGGGAUCACUGCAAAUGAAUCCCAACUGCUGUGAUUAAAUACCUCACAAAGGCAACUGAAAGAAGAAAGGCUUUGUUCUGACCCCAGUCCAUGGAAUGCUACUGCCCACCUUCUGGUCUUCACUACUCAGCUAACUUCUCUGGAAAUACCCUCAAGUGUGUUCCCAGGAGAAGUUCCGAGACAAAAUAAAACUGGAAAGAAUAUGGUGGUGACUGUCAUCAGCAGCAGAGAACCAGGACUGAUACAAAGAAGAGGUCUCUAAUGAAGAAACAGUGGAGACUGUCAUUUUGCUCAUUGCAUUGCAUCAUGGGUCAACAUUUCAGACAAGGGAAACUCUCUUGGCGAAGUCAAAUGUUUGGAGAGAAUUGCAG